rnacentral:tRNA from 1 species
GAAAGUCUAGUUAAUUAAUAACACAGGUUUGUCAGGCCUGAGUAGCUACACAGGUAGUGAUUUUCU